rnacentral:rRNA from 1 species
UACAGAGGUCCCGAGCGUUGUUUCGGAUUCACUGGGGCGUAAAGGGUGCGUAGGUGGUGAGGUAAGUCGGAUGUGAAAUCUCCGGGCUCAACCCGGAAAUGGCAUUGGAAACUACCUUGCUGGAGGAUUUGAGGGGGGAUUGGAAUACUUGGUGUAGCAGUGAAAUGCGUAGAUAUCAAGUGGAACACCAGUGGCGAAGGCGAAUCCCUGGAAAAUACCUGACACUGAGGCACGAAAGCUAGGGGAGCAAACAGG